UUAAAAUUUGAUUUUGGUUUAUAUAUUAAUUUUAUGAUUUUUUUGCAUGUAUAUUUUUGUUUAAAAAAUAAUUUUGCAGCAAUUAAUUUUAAUAAUUAAAGAAAUUUAGAAUUAUAGAUUAUAUAAUUAAGUAUCGACAAAAAAAUUGUGCCAGCAGUAGCGGUUAAACGUUGUGAUACUAGUUAAUAUUUUUAAUUAAUAAAUUAUAUUUAUUAAUUAUAUAUAAAAAUAAAAAAUUUUAAAGUGAAAUUAAAUUUAUUUACUUAUAUAUAUAUAUAUAUAUAUAUAUAUAUAUAUUAUUUUAUGAAAUCUAAAUAAUAAACUAGGAUUAGAUACCCUAUUAUUUUAGAUGUUAAUAUUUAUUUUAAUUAUUAAUAGUUAUGAUCUUGAAAAUUAAAAAAAUUGGCGGUGUUUAAAACUAAUUAGGGGAAUUUGUUUAUGAAACGAUGAUCCGCGAGAAAUCUUACUUUAAUUUAUUUAGCUUAUUUAUUUUUGUUAUCAGAAUAUUUUUUAAGAAUAAAAAAUUUUCAAAUAAUUUAAUAAAAUUAUAUUUCAGAUCAAGAUGUAGCUUAUAUUAAAGUUUAAAUGAAUUACAAUAAAAAUUUAGUUUUUGGAUAUAAAUUGAAAUAUUUAUUGAAAUCGGACUUAAUAGUAAAAUUUAAAAUUAUAUAAAUUUGAAUUAAGAAUUAAAUGUGUACAAAUCGCCCGUCACUCUCAUUAAAGUUGAGAUAAGUCGUAACAUAGUAAAUGUAUUGGAAAAUGUAUUUAGAAUU
rnacentral:ncRNA from 1 species